rnacentral:sRNA from 1 species
UAAUAUUGCAGGCAGAUAUGCGCUGUACACCUAUGAAACCGAAUUAACGUUUAAGCGAUAUGUAAUAUCGCCGGACAUAGGGGCCGUCUUUUUAAGGCGGCUUUUUUUA